GACGAACGCUGGCGGCGUGCCUAAUACAUGCAAGUCGAGCGGAGUUAGAGAAGCUUGCUUCUCUAAUUUAGCGGCGGACGGGUGAGUAACACGUGGGCAAUCUGCCCGUAAGACUGGGAUAACUCCGGGAAACCGGGGCUAAUACCGGAUAAUACUGACUCUCUCCUGAGAGUCAGUUGAAAGAUGGUUUCGGCUAUCACUUACGGAUGAGCCCGCGGCGCAUUAGCUAGUUGGUAGGGUAAUGGCCUACCAAGGCGACGAUGCGUAGCCGACCUGAGAGGGUGAUCGGCCACACUGGGACUGAGACACGGCCCAGGCUCCUACGGGAGGCAGCAGUAGGGAAUCUUCCACAAUGGACGAAAGUCUGAUGGAGCAACGCCGCGUGAGUGAAGAAGGUUUUCGGAUCGUAAAACUCUGUUGUAAGGGAAGAACACGUACGAGAGUAACUGCUCGUACCUUGACGGUACCUUAUUAGAAAGCCACGGCUAACUACGUG
rnacentral:rRNA from 1 species